rnacentral:rRNA from 1 species
UACGUAGGGUGCAAGCGUUGUCCGGAAUUAUUGGGCGUAAAGAGCUUGUAGGCGGUUUGUCGCGUCUGCUGUGAAAUUUCGGGGCUCAACCCCGAACUUGCAGUGGGUACGGGCAGACUAGAGUGUGGUAGGGGAGAAUGGAAUUCCUGGUGUAGCGGUGGAAUGCGCAGAUAUCAGGAGGAACACCGAUGGCGAAGGCAGGUCUCUGGGCAUUAACUGACGCUGAGGAGCGAAAGCAUGGGGAGCGAACAGG